GGGGACAUAGCUCAGUUGGUAGAGUGCUUGCCUUGCAUACAAGGCCCUGGGUUCAAUCCCUGGCACCA
rnacentral:tRNA from 1 species